rnacentral:rRNA from 1 species
GCAAGUCGAGCGGGAACACAAGGGAGCUUGCUCCUGAGGUGACGAGCGGCGGACGGGUGAGUAAUGCCUAGGUAUCUGCCUAGUCGAGGGGGAUAACAGUUGGAAACGACUGCUAAUACCGCAUACGCUCUACGGGAGAAAGGAGGGGAACUUCGAGCCUUUCGCGAUUAGAUGAGCCUAGGUGGGAUUAGCUAGUAGGUGAGGUAAUGGCUCACCUAGGCCACGAUCCCUAGCUGGUCUGAGAGGAUGAUC